CAAUAGCGUAUAUUAAAGUUGUUGCGGUUAAAAAGCUCGUAGUUGGAUUUCUGUUGAGGACGACCGGUCCGCCCUCUGGGUGAGUAUCUGGCUCGGCCUUGGCAUCUUCUUGGAGAACGUAACUGCACUUGACUGUGUGGUGCGGUAUCCAGGACUUUUACUUUGAGGAAAUUAGAGUGUUUCAAGCAGGCGUACGCCUUGAAUACAUUAGCAUGGAAUAAUGAGAUAGGACCUUGGUUCUAUUUUGUUGGUUUCUAGAGCUGAGGUAAUGAUUAAUAGGGAUAGUUAGGGGCAGUCGUAUUCCGUCGAGAGAGGUGAAAUUCUCAGACCAAUGGAAGACGAACCACUGCGAAAGCAUUUGCCAGGGAUGUUUUCACUGAUCAAGAACGAAAGUUAGGGGAUCGAAGAUGAUUAGAUACCAU
rnacentral:rRNA from 1 species